rnacentral:rRNA from 1 species
GACGAACGCUGGCGGCGUGCUUAACACAUGCAAGUCGAGCGGAAAGGCCCUGCUUUUGUGGGGUGCUCGAGUGGCGAACGGGUGACUAACACGUGAGUAACCUGCCCUUGACUUUGGGAUAACUUCAGGAAACUGGGGCUAAUACCGGAUAGGAGCUCCUGCUGCAUGGUGGGGGUUGGAAAGUUUCGGCGGUUGGGGAUGGACUCGCGGCUUAUCAGCUUGUUGGUGGGGUAGUGGCUUACCAAGGCUUUGUCGGGUAGCCGGCCUGAGAGGGUGACCGGCCACAUUGGGACUGAGAUACGGCCCAGACUCCUACGGGAGGCAGCAGUGGGGAAUAUUGCACAAUGGGCGGAAGCCUGAUGCAGCAACGCCGCGUGCGGGAUGACGGCCUUCGGGUUGUAAACCGCUUUCGCCUGUGACGAAGCGUGAGUGACGGUAAUGGGUAAAGAAGCACCGGCUAACUACGUG